CUCAAAUUUCAAAUAAAUUAUAUCAUCUUCCUCCCUCUUCCUAAAUUAUAUUUUAUAGUCAACUUUUAAAAAAUAAUGAUACUCCUAGAUUUUUUGUAUUGAAAGUGUAUAAGAAGAGUUAUAUGGUUGGUCUCAUACUAUUCCUCAUGAAACUUAGCAUCAAGCCCCAAAAACUGAUUCUCAAUCAGGAUGUAUACUCCAACAUCCAGUUUCUAAAUUUCACUGCUCUUUGAAACGUUUGAAAGCGCUAAUACAAUGUACGUCUUUGAAGCCCUUGAAACUCUUUAAUAUCGGGCAGACUGAUCUAAAAGAGAUUAUUUUUUUUUGAGGAAGUUAGUAUUAAGAUUCGUUCCGUCUUUUUUCAGUCCCUUAAUUUGAUUAUUUCUUCUUGUUAAUUAUUUACAUAACAAUCAGCUCAUCAUUCCAUGGUGCGUCUAAUGGCUCUUUUCCAGGUUCUAUAAUUCGAAAAGGUUUUUUGUCAUUGGUUUUCCAUCCUCUGUAUCGUAAGCCCACUAGCUCAAUUGGGAUGCAAGUUGUCUCUGCCGAGUAUACAUCUCCUGAAUAAAUAACCCAUUCUCCUGAUUCUUCACAUGCUGAGAACCUACUGGAGUUGGAGAAAAAUAACAGAUAUGGACUUUCAGGCUCUCUUCUUUCUUCAACCAGCUCAAUGCUGAAUUUUGACGGUGCAUCACGUUCCAGGAUCAAGCGCUCUCCUUGUACGUAUACUAAACCUCUUUUAUCCUUAACCUUGAAUGUACCAUUAUCGUCAUAACAAACCCUUAAUAGACGACUUUUAGGAUACUCGCCUAGGAAAAGCUUGUCAUCUCUGUAAUGGAUCAAGCUUCCUAUAAUGCUCCAUUAGUAAAGCACCAGUCUAUAAUCACAAACCUUUAAUUCCGAGCUCCAUAUCUACUCCCAAAUGAGCCUUGAAUGACCAAAAUCGCGUAUACAACGUUUGUAAGACAUGAGUUGUAGGAACAUUGAUUUCUCGUUCAAUUAAGACUGCGGAGCUAAUCGAAAUUGGUAGGAAACAAAAAAGUAGUAAAUAACAAAGCUGAGUCGCAUGGAGCAUUUCUAUAGAGCUAUCAUUCAACGAAUCCGCUGAAAAUGGAUAGUU